AACUUUUGGCAAUGGAUCACUUGGUUCUGGCAUCGAUGAAGAACGCAGCGAAAUGCGAUAAGUAAUGCGAAUUGCAGAAGUCAGUGAGUCAUCGAAUCUUUGAACGCACAUUGCGCCCUUUGGUAUUCCGAAGGGCAUGCCUGUUCGAGCGUCAUUAUCAACCCUCAAGCCUGGCUUGCUGUUGGACCUCUCGUCGUUGAAGACGGGUCCUAAAGUUAAUGGCGGAGUCGUCUGGACCCUAGAUGCAACGAGCUCUCGUAGCACGCGUUUAAGGGGCUGGCGGCUCUAGUCUCAACCCAUAUCAUUUACAAGGUUGACCUCGGAUCAGGUAGGAAUACCCGCUGAACUUAAGCAUAUCAAUAAGCGGAGGCU
rnacentral:misc_RNA from 1 species